AGAACGAACGCUGGCGGCAUGCCUAACACGUGCAAGUCGAACGAGACCUUCGGGUCCAGUGGCGCACGGGUGCGUAACGCGUGGGAAUCUACCCUUGGGUUCGGAAUAACAGUUGGAAACGACUGCUAAUACCGGAUGAUGUCGCAAGACCAAAGAUUUAUCGCCCAAGGAUGAGCCCGCGUAGGAUUAGCUAGUUGGUGAGGUAAAGGCUCACCAAGGCGACGAUCCUUAGCUGGUCUGAGAGGAUGAUCAGCCACACUGGGACUGAGACACGGCCCAGACUCCUACGGGAGGCAGCAGUGGGGAAUAUUGGACAAUGGGCGAAAGCCUGAUCCAGCAAUGCGCGUGAGUGAUGAAGGCCUUAGGUUGUAAAGCUCUUUUACCGGGAUGAUAAUGACAGUACCGGGAGAAUAAGCUCCGGCUAACUCCGUGCCAGCAGCCGC
rnacentral:rRNA from 1 species